ACAAGAGGAACAAAGAUUUUCAAACACCAGAUUUGCCAUGAUAAGGAAGCAAAUGUACUAAAGACUGACUGACUGACUGAUCUGAUACAAGGCCAGAUUUCAGCUGACCCUGACUCCUCAGGGGUCUGAGGAGGAGUAAAAUAUUCCCUAACCCCCUCCCAAAGCCUGGCCCACCUCGAUUACAAAUUAGGUACAACAGGGUGAGUUGAUCCUGAAAGGCUGCUUCUCAAUCACUUUAAUGGAGGGGGGCUGGUGGACACCUUCAUUUUUCCUCUGCAAUUCAUCAGCCAUGGCUGCUCAGCUGAUGCAAGAUGAGGAAUAUACUACACGAGCUGCUGGCAUAUGAAGAAGAUCCAGAACUGCAUCUUGCUAUCGUUCUACAAGUGUGUGUUUCAGCCCUCCUCCAGACUCGUACCAACUUGUGAUUUGUAAAUGAGUACCAGAUGAUGUGCUCUGUGGGUCACAAGUGGACAGAUCUGGUGCUAACAACAUCUCUUCCUUUGUACUGCUGACUACAGAAACUGAAGUAGCUUAACCACACUAGCCUGGAUACAAAGGAGCCCGAUCUUGCCUGAUCCUUCUUUAGGCAUUAACUCCUAGAAGUCAACGGAGGCUUUGUUUGCCUGAAUAAAAGCUUCUGCACUAACCAGGCCCUUUAACGAGGGACCUUCAGACACAAAGCACCACAAUUAUGCUUUCAAAGAAAUGAUGUAAAAUGUCUACUAACCAAUUUGUUACUCAGGCUGUCUACCUCCCCUGUUAAAAUAACUUCAAAGGAAUAAGAGAAAGUGAGAUUUCUUGGCUUCAUUUUUUAGAUCCACAUUAAGUUCAGUUAAUGACUGGUCCCUGGAGCGGAGUCCCUUCUUUCCUUGUGUGCCUGAUAUCCUAUAGAGUUGCAGCACCUCACUUGAGCUUAGCUGUGAUUUGGCACACUGAUCCUCUACCUCUGCAUUGCUGGGAGAGGCCACUGAAAAUAUACAAUCCCCAGACGGGAGUGAUUUAGUAAAAUUAAAAGCAGACAGGGGGCACUGAAACAAGGAGGUGUCAAAUGUUCCCUUUGCCCCACAAAGAUUUAGAUGUGGCUGCUCUGUAUACCUGUCUAUCGCCUCUUCACUGCUGUCUGAUUUUGAAAGCUAAAAUGAAUGAAAUUACAGCAAGAAGACAUGGGUGUUCUCUCACACACACACACACACACACACACACACACACACACACACACACACACACUUUUAAUUGUGGGUUAUUACCGGUUAACUUUGGUUCAUUCAAAAGAUGGAAGAAAACAGGUUUCAGUGGGUCUCAAGACUCAAGAGGCAUUGCAAAAGAUAACAUCCAAGGGCUUGCACAUACUCCAUUGAUUCCUUUAGCCCACAAAGAAUUUAUUAAUUCAUAUUGUUUGAUUCUUUUAGAUUCCUUUGCUUUCCCACUCUAUUUCCUUUUUCUUAUUGAGAGUCAGACUGGAACACACCAGCACAUGUCAGUGCUGCUGUAUUACAAUGGGCAAUACAAAGGAGGAAAGGCAAGAGGGUUAAUGCGGCAUUUGAAGAGCAUAUUGCUAAAUGCAUGCAAACAAACAAGAAUGCAUUGUCUUAGCCUGUCAGAAACACGAGGCAUGCAACAGUGUUAGUGCAAUCACUACAGGUUAAAGGGAUAUAAGGACAUUUGCUUAGAAGUGAAAUUGUUUUUUUGGCUCAAUAUUUGCUGUUCUUCCCUAGUAGUAAAGAUGAGGUAUAAGCAGAGACAUAGCUAUUGAAGGGAUACUGAAGUGAAUUGGUAAUGAAAAGUAAUGCCAUUAGACCCACAUGGUAUAUGCAUUCAUAGAAAAGUGUAAAUCUGAAAUGAUAGAGCUGCUUAACAAAAAUGGCAAAUUCUUAUUAAAAACACUUUCCAUUGCACAGGAUUGGAAGGUAGCAAAUUCUAUACCUAUAUGUAAAAAUAUUUUCAUAAGGAUCCUCGGAAUUACAGAUCAGUGAGCUUUCCACCUGUAGCUAUUAAAUUCACUAAAAGAAUGUGUAAACAUAGAAGAAUAAAACACCAGAAAAGCAUGAAUUGGUAGGGUCAAAUCAUCACAGAUUCUGCUAAGGAAAAUUGUCUCAGCUGUCUUUUAGGAUUGUUUGAAGGUAUAAUAUUGUGGAUACAGGAGAAGCAGCUGACUAUUUAGCUUUCCACUAGUCCUUUUUAUAACACCCAUGCAAAUGGCUACUGAAGAAACUAAAUAAGUACAGAGGAGAGGCAAAAUAUUGCUGUGGACAAAAAAAAUGACUAUAAGAGAGGAAAAAAAGAGUAGGGUAAAAUGGCCAGUUUUCAUUCUAGUGAAAGGUUAAUAGUGAAGUACCUCUCAGUUCUAUGCUAGGACCACUGCCAUUUAAUAUAUCUGCUUCAGGUCUAGAAAAGGGGAAUCUGGAAAAUAUGCAAAGAACAGAAAAUUAUUUUUCUUAGGUAUGUCCCAAGAAGGAUUUAACCAAGUUAGUGGGUAAUACAAUGGCAGAUGAAAGCCACUAUUGCAAAGUACUUCAUAGUACUGGAGGAAAAAUACUCCUUUAUAGAGUUUUUAAUUAACAGUAUUCAUUCUAGGAAGGGGUCUGAUCAUCGCUGUCAAGAACUCAUUGAAGACCCUGGUGCAAAAUACACUUGCAGUCAAAACAAACCCAAAAUAUUAGGAUGCAUCAGGAAUGGUUUAGACAAAAAUUCAUGAGGGCAUGUCUACACAUGUAUUAACAUGCUUUAGUUAUUGUACAUUAAAUCUAGUACCUCCAUUGUGACAUACUAAAAAAAUGUGCAUUAGCCCGUCUUAAUGCACAUUAACUAAAGGGCAUGAUUUUUAAGUUGUACUUAAUGCUCAUUAAGUGUCAACUAUUUUACCAUGGUUUAACUAAAUAGCACAGUGAUGCUUUAAUACCCAUUAAAAUAAGCUAAUGUGCAUUCAAGUGCAUGUG